CGCCCUCCUUGUCAAGCAGUGUCCACGGAUAAGGGCGUCCCGGGGCGGCUGUCUCCUUGGUCUUCCUGCUGCACCGGGUUCUUUGAAAAUCAGCUCCUGACUGCAUGUUGCGGAUUCCAGGCCCAGCCCCCUUACCUGGAAGGCUCACCUUGAAAGACGGCAGGAUGAGACCAGGAAACGGGGCCACAGGCAUACCAAGGAAGCUUAUUUUGCCUGGCUUCCCUUUUUAAGCACGGAUGCAUACCGGUGUGUUGGACAUGACUGAUGAACCAAGAUUUGAGGAAGGCCACCCACUGAGUGACUGGAGGUAGACGUGGAAGGCUUUGGUUGCCAUAGGCAACUUGGGGCCAGAAAGACCUGGAUUCAAAUUCUGGCACUUAUCAAAGGGAUAAAGUGGGACAAACAAUUUUACCUUGCUGGGCCUCAGUCUCCUCAUCUGUAAAAUACGGAUAAUCCCCCCUUGGUAGAUUGGGAUGAGGAUUAAAGAUAAUGCAUGCAAAAUAUUUGGCACGUAGCAGGUGCUACCAAAUGCUUAUUGUUGUUGUUAUUACGGAGUUCAGAGCCCUUUGAGAUGCUCCACAAGUGUUUGCUGAUUUGAGGGUGGCACAAAAGGCAGUUUUCCCCAACACCAAUUGAAAGACUCCUUGGAGUGUGAAUUUCAAGAUGGUGGGGUACAGCAAUUUCUACCCUCUCGUCGAAAGUCUCAUCUCUGCUGGGAGACUGUGUGACCCAGAACCACAGUAUAGGAAGAUGG
rnacentral:lncRNA from 1 species